rnacentral:lncRNA from 13 species
UGAAUGUUGAUAUGGUUUUGGCUCUGUCCCCAUGAAUCUCACUUCUAAUUGUAAUCUCCAUAAUCCCCAUGUGUCAAGGGCUGGACCAGGUGGAAGUAACUGAAUCAUGGGGAGGGUUUCCCCGUGCUGUUCUCGUGAUAGUGCCUUCUCACAAGAUCUGAUGGCUUUACAUGUGCUUGGCAUUUUCCCUGUUUGCCUUCCCUUCUUCCUGCUACCUAGUGAAGAAGGUGCCUGCUUCUCCUCUGCUUUCUGCCAUGAUCAUAAGUUUCCUGAGGCCUCCCAGCAUUAUGAAACUCCUUGCCUGGAUUCUCCAUCUCCUCAACCCCAGGAACCAACAAGCUAUCAAAGACAGAAUUUGCACCAGAGGACAAAGGAAGGCUAUAAGCAUGUUGAAGGCAGAGACUAUACCUUGUUCAGUGUUCUGUCUCUAGUAUCUACUGCAAGACCAAGCAAACAGUCUGGUCAAGAGAAGGUCAGUUUCCCUGGGAAAGAUUCUGAGAUGGAGAAUUGUGUGCGGUGAGCUUGUUGAAAAGUGCAGGGUGGAAACAACACCUGUGCAAAGGAUGAGGGUAAGAGGACUGGUCAGGGGAGGAAAUUGGACAGAUGUAUAAUUGCAACGGAAGUCCCAUCUGAUCCCCAUGGGGAACUGUAGACCUUGGAUGGCCUUGCUGAUUUGUCCUGAACUGAGGCCAGAGCGCGGCAGGACCUUUGUAUCCUCAGAGCCAGGUGGAUAUUGGGCAGCUCCUGGGGAUGGGUGGGGAAAGGGUGUCACCUUAAGUGAGUUAGCUUUUUCCACUGGCCAAAAAGAUAAUUACAGAGUGGGGUUUCUGUUGUGAGUUGGGCAGCAGCCUGCUCAGCACUGGAGCACCCCAGCAGGAAAGGAGCCCAUCUGAGAGGCACCCUCAACAUUGUAGAUACAGCCUGAGUCAGGCUAGCCUUCCUCCAGUACAGGGGUUUUCAACCUUGGCGUUAUGGAGAUUUGGGGCUAGAUAAAUCUUCAUCGUGGGGGCUCUCUUGUGUACUGUAGGAUAGAAUAAAGAGUCUGACUCCAUUUCUAAUAGUUGACUG